UCAGCAACCACAUCAGCCAUCUAUUUAAGAACCCUGGGAUGGAUAUCAUCUGGCCCCAUGGACUUAUACAAGUUCAAUUUCAUGAGGAGAAUUUCCUGAGGACGAUCUCCAUCUUAACUCCAGAAGAGAAAAAAUCAUCUAUUACCUCUUUUUCAUCUGUAAUUACUCGUGGAGGUGCAGAGAUUAGUUCCCACACCCUUUCUGUCUCGUGAGGAAUAUGAGUUAUGAAGAACAGCUUAUUCUCCCAGUUCCCAAGACUAUGACUUGGAUGCUUUUGUGUGACUUUGUUCUUUUCUCUACACAUUUGCUAUACAAAGCCAAUGGGAAAAGAAAUACACAAACCCAUUGUGAAGUGUCCAUAUCACCUUCACAGAAAAAGAAUGGAUGCAAGUAUCUCCCAGCUUUCUUGAUACUAACUGAACAUUAUAUCAAGGAAAGAAGCUGACUUUAUGCAACAAAAAGCUGAUAUUAUCUGAAAAUUAUUUUUAUAGUCAAUAUAUAACACUCCUCCAAGCCAGAAAAGAAUAUUUCUGUGAUUUUAAUAAUCACUGCUUAACUUCUCUCUUGCUGUCUACAUUUGGGUUGUUUUAGAUUUUGUGGACCAUGGUCCUAUUCUUCUGUAGGUAAUACAGACACAGUGAAGGCAUGGUCCUUGCCCAGGGAGAAUAUUUCCCCUUUAUAUAUUGAAAGCACCUAUCAGGUCACCUUGGAGCCUUUCUGCAGCCUGCAGCCUCUGCAGCCUCUUCUGCAGGCUGAACAGCCCCAGCUCUUCCAGAUGUCAGAUGGUCUGCAAGCAUUUCUUGAAGCUCACAGAAUCACUUCAAAAGUCGUGAACAGAAAAUGAAGGAAAGAUGAACAUGGCCAGGACACUUGGAUCUCCUAAUGAAAAGCUACUGUCCACCAUACUGUCAGUGCAACACAGAGAGAUGACACCACAAGCAAAAAGAAUACUGUGCUUCAUGAUACUUCUUUAGUUGUUGAUAGCAUCAUUACUGUCAAAUGAUUUCUUAAUUAUUCUUUUUAUUUGGCAAUUACUAAUAGUGAAUGGAAGGGUAUUCAUUAUUUUCGAACAACACCUGAAAAAAAUCUACUUAUUCAUGAACAGAUGAUCCUAUUUUUAUGGGUAAGCAGACAUCUUUCUAUAAUAUCUUCAUAUAUUUCUAUUUCUAUAAUCACAAUUUAACAGCACCCUUUCAAUGGAAGAUCUGGUCCCUUUACUAGGAAACUAGAUUUCAGCACAAGGAUCUGUUAGGUGAUUUGAUUGUAGUGCACAUAUGGAAAACCCUGGAUGGUGAGCAGAAUUACUGAGCUCCCAUUCGGAAUCCAGUGAACAUGUUUCAUCAGUUUUAUAAGAUUAAUCCCUGAAGCUCCUAAAACCUUAUUUUCAUAUCACCUUAUUGCAUUCAUGCCAGGCCAGAAAUCUUUAUUGACAAGAGAAAUGGGGAAGUGAUAUUGGUAUCCAGACGAUCAAUCCAGACCUAAGGAAUAGAAAAAUUACUAGAAUAGUGGGUAAAGAAGGGACCAGAAUACAUUGCUUAGUGUUUAUUCAGUAGAUGUGCGCUUUGUUGGGGAACAAAUUUUGGAGUGCUGGCCUAACACAAGGAAAUGCUAGUUACCAUAAAAAGAAUGACAUUAAAAUAUGACUAUCACAAGUUUUCAUCCAGAAGGUCUGGUGUAUGUUUGAACUAGCUUUUUUUCUUUCUUUUUUUUUUUUUUUUGUCUUUGUGCUGUGAUCAAACAGAUACAGCAUUUGAUUUCUUUAUCUUCUGUAACUUUUUAUUAUUUAAUCAGGAAUUUUAAGGUGCUGAGCACUUCUGUGAAAUGCUGAGCACUCUGAAGUUCCAGUGAUUGCCCGUUAAAGGUGUGCAGCACAUUUCAAGAUUGUGAUUUGUGACUGACAAGAACAAUUGUGUUGAAAAGAAAAAGAAAUCUUGUCUCAUUAAUUACAAGUUCAAUUAAAACAAAGCAGCCAUCAAAAGUAUAGGUCAAGAGGAAAAGCAAUGCGCAGUAUAUUUGACAUGUAUAAAAGACAAAUAUGUCUUUUUAUUAGUUUGAAGGUUAAUGUCCUCAUUAGAUUGUAGCAGUUCACUAUGCAUUCGUGCCUGUGUCUGCAAUGUGAUAUACCAAUCAACAGGAACAUUUGAGGGAUAACAUAAAAGCAAAAUAAAAUUACUGUUAACUGUGAACUCUUAAAAAAGAUAAACUUGACAAACUUUAUUUCUGCAGUCAUAGUAGACC
ensembl:lncRNA